CUACGUGCCAGCAGCCGCGGUAAUACGUAGGUGGCAAGCGUUGUCCGGAAUUAUUGGGCGUAAAGCGCGCGCAGGCGGAUUGGUCAGUCUGUCUUAAAAGUUCGGGGCUUAACCCCGUGAUGGGAUGGAAACUGCCAAUCUAGAGUAUCGGAGAGGAAAGUGGAAUUCCUAGUGUAGCGGUGAAAUGCGUAGAUAUUAGGAAGAACACCAGUGGCGAAGGCGACUUUCUGGACGAAAACUGACGCUGAGGCGCGAAAGCCAGGGGAGCGAACGGGAUUAGAUACCCCGGUAGUCCUGGCCGUAAACGAUGGGUACUAGGUGUAGGAGGUAUCGACCCCUUCUGUGCCGGAGUUAACGCAAUAAGUACCCCGCCUGGGGAGUACGACCGCAAGGUUGAAACUCAAAGGAAUUGACGGGGGCCCGCACAAGCGGUGGAGUAUGUGGUUUAAUUCGACGCAACGCGAAGAACCUUACCAGGUCCUGACAU
rnacentral:rRNA from 1 species